CCCUUAGAGUUUGAUCCUGGCUCAGAGUCAACGCUGGCGGCGUGCCUAACACAUGCAAGUCGAACGCGACUUGGGCUUCGGUCCAAGUUGAGUGGCGAACGGGUGAGUAACACGUGGGUGACCUACCUUCGAGUGGGGGAUAACGUCCCGAAAGGGACGCUAAUACCGCAUAACAUCCUGCCUUUGAACAGGUGGAGAUCAAAGCCGGGGAUCGCAAGACCUGGCGCUUGAUGAGGGGCCCGCGCCUGAUUAGCUAGUUGGUGGGGUAAUGGCCCACCAAGGCGACGAUCAGUAUCCGGCCUGAGAGGGCGGACGGACACACUGGGACUGAGACACGGCCCAGACUCCUACGGGAGGCAGCAGUGGGGAAUUGUUCGCAAUGGGCGCAAGCCUGACGACGCAACGCCGCGUGGAGGAUGAAGGUCUUC
rnacentral:rRNA from 1 species